AUGAAAAUGAUUUGAUGUUUUAUAAAAAAAUCGUAAACCACAAAAUCGCCAAUAGCCAAAACAUCCUCAAAAAUGGCCGUUAUUCAAAUAAGUAAAUGUGAAAUUGGUGCCUUAUGUUUUGAGGAGAAUAAUGUGUAAUGUUUGGGAAACAUCAUGUCAUAUAAUUCUAUAAUAGGCUAUUCAAAAUUAAAAUGUAUUAGAGAAUAUUCUCAAGUGCUAGCCUUAUAUUCAAUUUUAUUGGUCUUCCUAUGCUUAGCCAUUAUGCAAAAAUAAUAAGAUUUAUAUUAUAAAUGUAAUUAAUUUUUAAAUGAUUAAAUAUUCAUGCCAAUUCCUUCUCAAAAACUACCUUAUUUUUUUGAUUGCUCUUUGUCAUCAAACCAAUGUGUAAAAAAUAAAUAAUGUAUUUUUGUUUUUUUUAGAGUUUUCUCUAUAAUUUUAAAGUAGUGAAUCACAUAGUUGCUUAUCACCUUUAGUUUAUUCAAAUAUGUACCAAAAAUCUCAUAUAUAUAUUUCUGUGGGUACCCAUGCAAAUUAAAUUCAUAUAAUUAU